AAUCUUCCGCAAUGGGCGCAAGCCUGACGGAGCAACGCCGCGUGAGCGAAGAAGGCCUUCGGGUUGUAAAGCUCUGUCCAGGGGGAAGAAGCAAGUGACGGUACCCUUGGAGGAAGCCCCGGCUAACUACGUGCCAGCAGCCGCGGUAAAACGUAGGGGGCGAGCGUUGUCCGGAAUUACUGGGCGUAAAGGGCGUGUAGGCGGCUAUGCAAGUCAGGAGUGAAAACCGUCGGCUCAACCGGCGGCCUGCUUCUGAAACUGCAUGGCUUGAGUGCAGGAGAGGGAAGUGGAAUUCCCAGUGUAGCGGUGAAAUGCGUAGAUAUUGGGAGGAACACCAGUGGCGAAAGCGGCUUCCUGGCCUGUAACUGACGCUGAGGCGCGAAAGCGUGGGGAGCAAACAGG
rnacentral:rRNA from 1 species